GGGUUGUGAGGUUAAGCGACUAAGCGUACACGGUGGAUGCCCUGGCAGUCAGAGGCGAUGAAGGACGUGCUAAUCUGCGAUAAGCGUCGGUAAGGUGAUAUGAACCGUUAUAACCGGCGAUUUCCGAAUGGGGAAACCCAGUGUGAUUCGUCACACUAUCAUUAACUGAAUCCAUAGGUUAAUGAGGCGAACCGGGGGAACUGAAACAUCUAAGUACCCCGAGGAAAAGAAAUCAACCGAGAUUCCCCCAGUAGCGGCGAGCGAACGGGGAGGAGCCCAGAGCCUGAAUCAGUGUGUGUGUUAGUGGAAGCGUCUGGAAAGGCGCGCGAUACAGGGUGACAGCCCCGUACACAAAAAUGCACAUGCUGUGAGCUCGAUGAGUAGGGCGGGACACGUGGUAUCCUGUCUGAAUAUGGGGGGACCAUCCUCCAAGGCUAAAUACUCCUGACUGACCGAUAGUGAACCAGUACCGUGAGGGAAAGGCGAAAAGAACCCCGGCGAGGGGAGUGAAAAAGAACCUGAAACCGUGUACGUACAAGCAGUGGGAGCCUCUUUUAUGGGGUGACUGCGUACCUUUUGUAUAAUGGGUCAGCGACUUAUAUUCUGUAGCAAGGUUAACCGAAUAGGGGAGCCGAAGGGAAACCGAGUCUUAACCGGGCGUUAAGUUGCAGGGUAUAGACCCGAAACCCGGUGAUCUAGCCAUGGGCAGGUUGAAGGUUGGGUAACACUAACUGGAGGACCGAACCGACUAAUGUUGAAAAAUUAGCGGAUGACUUGUGGCUGGGGGUGAAAGGCCAAUCAAACCGGGAGAUAGCUGGUUCUCCCCGAAAGCUAUUUAGGUAGCGCCUCGUGAAUUCAUCUCCGGGGGUAGAGCACUGUUUCGGCAAGGGGGUCAUCCCGACUUACCAACCCGAUGCAAACUGCGAAUACCGGAGAAUGUUAUCACGGGAGACACACGGCGGGUGCUAACGUCCGUCGUGAAGAGGGAAACAACCCAGACCGCCAGCUAAGGUCCCAAAGUCAUGGUUAAGUGGGAAACGAUGUGGGAAGGCCCAGACAGCCAGGAUGUUGGCUUAGAAGCAGCCAUCAUUUAAAGAAAGCGUAAUAGCUCACUGGUCGAGUCGGCCUGCGCGGAAGAUGUAACGGGGCUAAACCAUGCACCGAAGCUGCGGCAGCGACACUGUGUGUUGUUGGGUAGGGGAGCGUUCUGUAAGCCUGUGAAGGUGUGCUGUGAGGCAUGCUGGAGGUAUCAGAAGUGCGAAUGCUGACAUAAGUAACGAUAAAGCGGGUGAAAAGCCCGCUCGCCGGAAGACCAAGGGUUCCUGUCCAACGUUAAUCGGGGCAGGGUGAGUCGACCCCUAAGGCGAGGCCGAAAGGCGUAGUCGAUGGGAAACAGGUUAAUAUUCCUGUACUUGGUGUUACUGCGAAGGGGGGACGGAGAAGGCUAUGUUGGCCGGGCGACGGUUGUCCCGGUUUAAGCGUGUAGGCUGGUUUUCCAGGCAAAUCCGGAAAAUCAAGGCUGAGGCGUGAUGACGAGGCACUACGGUGCUGAAGCAACAAAUGCCCUGCUUCCAGGAAAAGCCUCUAAGCAUCAGGUAACAUCAAAUCGUACCCCAAACCGACACAGGUGGUCAGGUAGAGAAUACCAAGGCGCUUGAGAGAACUCGGGUGAAGGAACUAGGCAAAAUGGUGCCGUAACUUCGGGAGAAGGCACGCUGAUAUGUAGGUGAAGUCCCUCGCGGAUGGAGCUGAAAUCAGUCGAAGAUACCAGCUGGCUGCAACUGUUUAUUAAAAACACAGCACUGUGCAAACACGAAAGUGGACGUAUACGGUGUGACGCCUGCCCGGUGCCGGAAGGUUAAUUGAUGGGGUCAGCGCAAGCGAAGCUCUUGAUCGAAGCCCCGGUAAACGGCGGCCGUAACUAUAACGGUCCUAAGGUAGCGAAAUUCCUUGUCGGGUAAGUUCCGACCUGCACGAAUGGCGUAAUGAUGGCCAGGCUGUCUCCACCCGAGACUCAGUGAAAUUGAACUCGCUGUGAAGAUGCAGUGUACCCGCGGCAAGACGGAAAGACCCCGUGAACCUUUACUAUAGCUUGACACUGAACAUUGAGCCUUGAUGUGUAGGAUAGGUGGGAGGCUUUGAAGUGUGGACGCCAGUCUGCAUGGAGCCGACCUUGAAAUACCACCCUUUAAUGUUUGAUGUUCUAACGUGGACCCGUGAUCCGGGUUGCGGACAGUGUCUGGUGGGUAGUUUGACUGGGGCGGUCUCCUCCUAAAGAGUAACGGAGGAGCACGAAGGUUGGCUAAUCCUGGUCGGACAUCAGGAGGUUAGUGCAAUGGCAUAAGCCAGCUUGACUGCGAGCGUGACGGCGCGAGCAGGUGCGAAAGCAGGUCAUAGUGAUCCGGUGGUUCUGAAUGGAAGGGCCAUCGCUCAACGGAUAAAAGGUACUCCGGGGAUAACAGGCUGAUACCGCCCAAGAGUUCAUAUCGACGGCGGUGUUUGGCACCUCGAUGUCGGCUCAUCACAUCCUGGGGCUGAAGUAGGUCCCAAGGGUAUGGCUGUUCGCCAUUUAAAGUGGUACGCGAGCUGGGUUUAGAACGUCGUGAGACAGUUCGGUCCCUAUCUGCCGUGGGCGCUGGAGAACUGAGGGGGGCUGCUCCUAGUACGAGAGGACCGGAGUGGACGCAUCACUGGUGUUCGGGUUGUCAUGCCAAUGGCACUGCCCGGUAGCUAAAUGCGGAAGAGAUAAGUGCUGAAAGCAUCUAAGCACGAAACUUGCCCCGAGAUGAGUUCUCCCUGACCCUUUAAGGGUCCUGAAGGAACGUUGAAGACGACGACGUUGAUAGGCCGGGUGUGUAAGCGCAGCGAUGCGUUGAGCUAACCGGUACUAAUGAACCGUGAGGCUUAACCUUACAACGCCGAAGGUGUUU
rnacentral:rRNA from 1 species